rnacentral:rRNA from 1 species
UGCCAGCCGCCGCGGUAAUACGAAGGGGGCGAGCGUUGUUCGGAAUUACUGGGCGUAAAGCGUACGUAGGCGGUUUUGCAAGUUAGGCGUGAAAGCCCAGGGCUCAACCUUGGAACUGCAUUUGAAACUGGAAGUCUGGAGUUCAGGAGAGGUUAGCGGAAUACCGAGUGUAGAGGUGAAAUUCGUAGAUAUUCGGUGGAACACCAGUGGCGAAGGCGGCUAACUGGACUGAUACUGACGCUGAGGUGCGAAAGUGUGGGGGGCAAACAGGAUUAGAUA